rnacentral:rRNA from 1 species
CCUACGGGUGGCUGCAGUGAGGAAUAUUGGUCAAUGGGCGCGAGCCUGAACCAGCCAAGUCGCGUGAGGGAUGACGGUCCUACGGAUUGUAAACCUCUUUUGCCGGGGAGCAAGCGUGCGUUCGUGAACGCGCGUCGAGAGUACCCGGAGAAAAAGCAUCGGCUAACUCCGUGCCAGCAGCCGCGGUAAUACGGAGGAUGCGAGCGUUAUCCGGAUUUAUUGGGUUUAAAGGGUGCGUAGGCGGCCUUUUAAGUCAGCGGUGAAAGUCUGUGGCUCAACCAAAGAAUGGCCGUUGAAACUGGGAGGCUUGAGUAUGUUUGAGGCAGGCGGAAUGCGUGGUGUAGCGGUGAAAUGCUUAGAUAUCACGCAGAACCCCGAUUGCGAAGGCAGCCUGCCAAGCCAUGACUGACGCUGAUGCACGAAAGCGUGGGGAUCAAACAGGAUUAGAUACCCUAGUAGUC